AAGUGUCUUUUGUAGACAUAUUUGAACCCAGGACCUGCUGUCUCUUUGCUUGGUUCUCAAUCCACUGAGCCACUUGUCUGCCCCCACAUAAUAAGUCUUUAAAAAUACAUAUUGGUUAAUUAAUAAUUUAGUACCCAGGUAGACAGUUGGGGGGGGGGGAAGCCAAGUUCCCUUCUGCCCGUGAUUUCUCCAUUUCGUCUUUGUGACCAGAGGCUGCUUGGAUCCUGGGGAAAGCCAGAUCUGCCCCGACCGGGAAAUAACCGAGUGUGGGAAUAAACCCACAAUCGCUUUCAUCCCAUCGCGGAGGAGUUUUUCUCUCCAAGCCUGCCAGCCAGGAGGCCUUAAUCAAAGAGCUCCGUGAAACGGUACCUGAAAAGCUUCCUGGAGAAGGGAACGGGAAUAAAAGGUGAAGCAAGCAUUUGAUUCAUCAUCUCCGCAGGCCUUUCUCAUUGCCGGCUCCCAGGGAUUAGGACUCCCAGCCUUUGUUCCGCAGAGUCGGGAAAGAUAAUGAACCCGCGGGAGAGGCGGUGUGGUCACUUAGGGAUUUCACGGGCGACCAUUUGAAACCCUUUUAGGAGCCUUUCUAUGCAAUUGUAGCUGUAAAAUAGAACGCGGGACAGUUCUCCAUUAAAAAAAAAAUACAUGAAUUCCCCCAGCAUGUUCUGGAGGUUGCUCACAAGAAGCCAUUAACAUAGCAAUACCAUCCUGUUUGCAUGUCCUUUGUUGCCCUAAGCCACUACUUGGUGUUUGCUUGGCCUUUCUGUCUUUCACGGAGGGACUUUGGAAACUCUUUGGAGAAAAAGGAGGGGAAACACAUUGCCCCAAAGCUCCAGCAGUUUAGCUUCUAGGAGGGGGGUCCAACCUCCCCAGGGCACCACCAGGAGACCUUGGUCUCUUUGUGAAACAGAACUGAAAAAAAGGAGCCAUUUCUUUUCAUUCUUUCUUUCUUCCUUUUUUUUUCCUGUCUGGAGCUGGAGGUGAAAACCCCAGCACCCAUCAUGGGGAGAAAAUGCAGAGAUUUAGCUAACCAAGACUACAGCCACAGGAAGUUCAAAUGAAGCCCAUAGCUGGUAGGAAAGAACAGGUGUUAGGUUGAAGAAUGGCUCCACAGAUUGCCCUGGCCCACCCAAGCAACCUGGAGGGAAGGGCCUCCACAUGUGUUCUCUCCAGACCCUCUUCUGAUCUAGUGCACUCCGUGUCAUUAGCAAGUCCAAAACUGUGCAUGGUCCCUGCCAGCACCGCCAACACCCCACCCAGGAUCAGAGAAUCCAGCUGGGAUCUUUGGCCUGUUGUGUAACAGCCAAGAAUAAAGAUUCCAUAAUUGGAACCAGCCUGUCUCUUCUGCUGAUGUUGCAGGAGACCAGGAGACAAUUCGGAGCUUGGUUCUUCCAGUUCUUGUGGGGCUCAUGGAAGCAAAUAUUUGUUGGAUCUGGAAAGCAAAGAGAGAGAAAAUGAUGGAACCUGUAACAGGAAAGAUUGAAUCAGUAACAAUUCAUCUUCUUGGGAGCUAAGAGAGGACAGAUGAGUCAGAAUCAGGUGGAGAGAAGUGAAGCUUCAAGACUAACCUAAGAACUCCAACUAUUGAAGAGCUCUUCAUACCUCAGGGCAACUUCAUGAGGACUCCACAAAGGAAGAAAUAGAUUUCUAUAAGACCAAGACCUAGACACAACAAUCUGAGUUUAUCUGAAUUCAACUUGAGACAGUUGGAGAUCUAAGCUUUUUCACCUAAUGGACUUAAUGAACUACAGGAUAUGGAUCAAAGGAUUCAUCAUCGAGUUCCUACAAGAAUAAAGUCUGCUUUGUAAGUGCCACCCACACAACCAACACAGAUUACAAUUCUAGUGUGUAGCCUGGGCAGAGAGUCCUGGAAUUCAAUAGAGCAAGAAGAGUAGACUCCCCACUCAGAGUUCAGAGAAGUGUAUGAGCAAGGGAUAGGGUGGGGCCAGCCUAUCCCUAUUUCCAAAGGGCUGCCCUACUAUCAGGAAAUCAGUCAAUAAACAAGUACCUACUAUGCUCUAGGGCAACUGAGUAACUCAGUGGAUAGUGUGGAAUAGAGUGGAAGACUGAAUUCAAAUCCAGCUUAAAACACUUAUUAGCUGUGUGACCCCACACAAGUCACUUAAGCCUGUUUGUCUCAGUUUCCUCAUUUAUAAAAUGUAUAAAAUGAGCUGGAGAAGGAAAUGGCAAACCAUUUCAGUAUCUUUGUCAAGAAAACCCCAAAUGGGAUCCCAAAGAGCCACUUAUAACUGAAAUGAACAUCUGAAUAUAUGUGAGGUUCUGUGCUAGGGCUGAAGAUGAAAAAAAAGGAGGGGGGGGGGAGUAAAGAAUCCCUAUUAUCAAGGAACCCAGGCAAAGAAAUUCCUAGCCAAGGAUAUUUGAAGAUCAUUCUAGGAAUGAAAGAAGUGGCAGCAGACAUGGAGAUAAAGGUGAAAUAGAUGGGGCAAGGGGAUUGAGGUCCCUACUUCAUUGUUUACCUAUAUUUCUAAUUAACUUUUUCCACCUGAAUUUUGUAGAUGUUCCCCUUGAAAAGUCGUAUCACACAAUAUUUACUAAGACUGGUAAAAGGAAAUGACUUGCUUAAUACUACUUUAAGAUUCACAUAAUUUAACAUCUUCCAUUUCCUUUAUUUUAAUUAGAUUGAAAGGUUCAAAAAUGCUAUUGUAGAGUCAAUACUUCUAAUUAAGUAGGAUGUUAAAGGUAUGAGAUGCCCUUUUUCUCAUCAAUAUUUUAAAGUAUCAUUUAAAUUGAUCUUUCCUAAAUUAUUUCUUACUUCAUAUUAAGCUUUGGGAUUUAAAUCCAAGACACAAAUCUUACAUUGCUUUCCCCAAGACUCUUGGGUAUUCUUGAUAGAAUCAUUUUCCAUGGAAAAUUCUUUCUUAAUAGUUCUUAAUAGUAAAAUAGCAAAAUCCUUCCUUCCUUCCUUCCUUCCUUCCUUCCUUCCUUCCUUCCUUCCUUCCUUCCUUCCUUCCUUCCUUCCUUCCUUCCUCCCUCCUUCCCUCCCUCUCUUUUUUCUUUCUUUUUCUCUUUCUCAUCUUGCUUUUUUGUUUUUAAUUGUUUUUAAUUAAAUUUAAAAAUUUUUUAAUUAAGUGUAGAAACGUUUUUUGACAAUUAUUUUCAGACAUUUUGCAGUUCACAUUCUCUUCCUCCUUUCCUUCCCACCACUUCCCCAAAGUAGUAAAUAACCUGAUAUAGUUUAUACCACUUUAUGCUUGCUGUCUCUAAAGGAAGCUCAGAGGGUUCAUUGAAUACCCUACAUGGGUAUUCUGAUGGCUCCUUUUUUACCAAAUAGCUUCUAAGUCUACCUUUUUUGAGGUAAGAACUGAGGAGUAAGGCCUGGAAUACUUCUUGAAAAACCUAAAGAAUGCUGUCCUUCAGUCUUUUCUGUGUACCCACCCUAUGGUAUUCAUGUUUUCAGCGAUUUCUGUCUAUAAGUGGAACGGAAUACUUGGCAGGCACUGAAGGUUAACCAGAUGAAGUAACUAUUAAGCUUCUGGAGCAGCAAAUUCUCCACAGUGGUCAUUCAAAUAUCAUUUCUGAAAAAGCAAUUUCUUUGUUAUUACUGAUCCGUGUUGCCCCUGAACAGAAGACGAUGGGUCAUACUUUUACCCUAUCACCCUUUUGCCAGAGCUUCUUAUUAUGAGCUAAGUAAUGCAAAAUGGGUCCUCUAACAAUAUGGAUAGGGCAGAGGAAGUUUCUAUUCUUAAAUGGAAAUGUUCCAUUCAAGGUGGGUUCCUUGAGUAUUAGUGCCUUUGACCAUAACAGUGCAAUUCUGAGAGGCUGUGGUCUCCAGUCCUAAUCCCAAUACCGUGACUUUUUCUGCUAAAAGAGAUACCUGCACAUGUGGACUUCAGGGGACAUUAAUAAUCAUGACAAGGAUAGCACUUAUGUAGCACUUUAAGGUUUUAUGCUCACAACAACCAUUUUACACAUGAAGAAUCUGAGAGAGAGGUUCAAUGAUUUGUCCAGGGUUAUAGCAUUAGUAAAUAUCCUAAGUAAAUAUCUUCAAUUCAGGUCUUCCUGAUUCAAAGUCCAGCACUCUAUCCAGUUUGCUACCAAGAUACUUUGACUUUUAUGAAUCUGGUGUGAAUGAAGACAUAUGGGCAAAGACAAAAGUGGAAUCUGCAAAGCAAUAAGAGCUCAAAACAUUUGGAACACAGGAAUCAUUGGAGGAGGGGAGAGACCAUUCCAAUGGAAGCUUGAGGGAAAGGCAGUUAGGAGCUCCAGCUGCCUGGGAAUUCUCUUGGCUGUUUCUGUCUGAAGGUGGAAGAUAGAUCCUCUUCAUCUCCUCUCUGGCCAUUGCUUUCUACUUAGACUGUGAACUGAAGAGAUAUUUGGUUUUGCCCAGAAGAGACUUGUUAGCAGAUUUUUUUUUUUGUUUUCUGAAGAGACUUUUAUUUCAAAAGCCUUCAAUCAACAAGAUAAAUUUAGAAUUUAGGGUGACCGUAAUUUCCCUCUUUCCCCAGCCUCAUCUUAUCCCCUUCUCCACAGAGAAUAACAGAUCCUUUAGUUAAAGUACUAGUUUGUAGGAUUGGUUAUUAGUGAGAAAAUUUUCAACUUACCAUCUGUGAGAAAAAUCUCCACCAAGACAGUUGGUAAAGAAGAAACAGGGAGUAGUAUAGGGGAGGGGCUCAAGAUUCAACCUCUUUCUUUUGCUUACUUCCUGGUUGCAACCUCUCUAAAUUUCCCCCACUAUUAAUUCACCAAGUUUCCAUCUCUAAUACUCUGGUAAUGAUGGAGGAGGGUCCUGCCAAGUCUUCCCACUGGGUCAAGAUGUAAGAUGCAUAGCUAGCAUGCAUCUCUCUAAGAGAAACAAGAGGGAUGGGAUAGAUAAGAUCUUUAUACUGGAUCCUAGAUAAUGGCCAAAAGUCUGGCUGAGUGGCCUGGGGCCCUGAGAGAAAAAGACCAGAAAAUAAAUGACUCCCUUUUGGUAGAUGAAUUAAUGAGAAAAUUUUGACCCAUCUCUCCCACUGCAUACAACUGUUAAUGCAGAAUGUCAGUGCUCAUCAACGACAUCAUAUGACCUCUUCUGCAUCAGAUUGAAAUCAGAUUGAAAUCAGAUUAUGAGAAUGGCAGAGAUUGGAGAAUGGGCCAUUGCCAUUUGGACAACAAAAGCUAUAUUAUUGCGGGCAUAGGACUAUAUGAACCUUUUAAUGAAGGACAAAGCAGAUGCUUCUAUUAGGUGGUGCUCUUUAUGCCAAUAAGAUUCUCUGUCACUUCCCUCCCCUCCACUACCCUCUCCCCCUGACAUCAAAAGAUCUAUAUAGCAUGUCCACUAUGGUCCUUGACUUGCCUUCAACUGGCAAACUGAUUACAUUAGUCUUUUCCCUCCACAACCACAGGGCAAAAGAUUUUCUUUAUUUGUUCCUAUUUAGGAUAUGGUGUUUCUGUGUCAGUCAAAUCCACCCCAGGGCAGUACCAUGGAAGCUCUUAUAGAAUCUAUCCUUCCUUAGGAGCUCCAUUUCACCAGAAUGAUCUGAGAUUAUCCUACUGUCCUUGCAUGUCAGGUUUUCCAUCUCCCAUGCCAACUUUAAGCUGCUAAUAUUGUUGAAAUUUGGAAUCUGCUCUUGGAGUUCACUUGGAAUUCCACUAUUUUAGAAUUCACUAUCAUGCUUCUGAUUAUUGGAGUUAGGUGUCCUGUCUCCUAGAAGCCAUGAUGAGUCAUUGCCAUCACAGGAAGAGGGAGGGCUCUCCAGUUCAGCUAUUUCUUGCUUGGAGUUGGAUUACUCCUCUUGACUAAUAGUAUUCAAAAGAGGCUAGUUCUAAGUCAAGCAAUAAGUUAAAUAUUAAGAGUUGAGAAUCUGGCUGCAUGCCCAGGUGCUAAUCCAGCAUGCCCUCUUGGUAGUGGAAAAGUUUUGCCACCAGAAGAGGAUGACAGAAAUACUUGAUAAUAAUUAGAGAAUACUGCUUACACAAGUCUUAAAUUUUCACAAUACCAAUAGAAAUUACAUGAUAUUGGUCAUGUGAAGUUUCAAUUUUCUUUUGUAUUCCAAAAACUAAUAAAGUUCUUUUUUCCCUCUUUUUCUCAAUCUCCACACCCACCUUCUAAUUCUUGGUCAUUUUUUAAAACUUCCUUUUAUUCUUUUCAGUUAGCAAGCAUUUAUUUUCUUUCCCUUUUAUCUCUCCCUUGGAUAAAAGGAAAACAAAACCCUUAAAUAUGCCUAGUCAAGCAAAACAAAUCCCUACGUUGGUCAAGUCCAGAAAUGUCUGUCUCCUUCUGCACCUCAAAUCCAUCCCCUCACUUUGAGGAGGUAGAUAGCAUGCUUCACCAUUGGAAUCGGUCAUUACAUUGAUCAGAGCUCUUAAGUCUUUUAUCUUUUCUUCAACAACUGUCUUUGCAAUAACAAGGCAUUUGGAAUAAAUGCACAGAUCUUUCUCCUUCGACUUCCCUACAGUUUAGGCCACAUGAGAACCUGACCUUCCAUGUCCAGAUGUUUUUCCAAUUCUGAAUGCUUACCCAGGGGCCCAGAUUCUUUUGUUGAUCUCCAAAUCAUUUUAUAUGGAGACUUACUAAUGUACUGAGAGAGCCCUUCAAUAGGCAAAAUAAAUGAAAGCAGAUGAAGACAUGACCCUCUGAGGUUUUCCUAAAUCGACUUUAACAAAGAGUCUGAGGAGCAAGCUUAUUAUGGUCAGCAGCUUCCCAGUGAGAGGCAGAGUCUCCCCCACAGGGCUGAUUUCAAUGGCCACCAUCGUUAGUGAUAGUAUAUUGAUGGACUGUGGUGUGCUGGGUAGAGUACAAAGCAUCUUCAUUAUGGGCCCCUGCCUUUGUGGAGCUUCCUGCCUACGGAAGGCAACUGAUUUUCUCAGGCGAACUUCUGUAAGUAAAGGCCCUGUUCUUGGAUUCCUCUUCUUUUGAGUCACUUUUACCUGCUGCCAUAGGGCCUACAGUCAUUUUAUAUCAGGCAUUCCAACAGAAAAACCAGUUUCACUUCUAAUCGUUCCCCUAACACACUCUUCAGUACCAUCCUGGAAACCACCCCCUUAGUGUGGGUAUAAAUGGUGACAAAGAUCAUAGAAUAUUGAAACUAAAAGGAAUUCCUUGAGAUCACUGAACUUGACCCCCUCACUUGACAAGUGAAGAAACUGAGGCCUGGAGAAGAGAAAUGAUUUCCUACUCAAGGUCAUAAUGAGUUAAUGUCCAAGCCCAAAUAUUUGGCAUGCUACUGGUUUGGAUGAUCAUUGGGCACGUAAAAGAUAAUUUUAUCUAGCUUUAAUCUGAAAAGUAAAUAUGGUUCUUAUUUUUCUAAAUUAAAAAAAACAUUAUUUGUUUUUAACAUUCCAAUAUAGUUCUUGACAGUGUGUGUAUAUAUAUAUAUAUAUAUAAUUUUUUUUAAGUUCCUUGGUGGUUUUUUUUUCUCUUCGAUUAGAGACUUUUUACCAUUUGGGGGUUAUGGACCCCUUUGAUAGUCUGGCCCCUUUUCAAAAUAAUAUUUUUAAAUGCAUAAAAUAAAAUGUAUAUUACAGAGAAAACCAAUUACAUUGGAAUAUAGCUACCUACAUAUAUAUAUAUUUAAAAAAAAUGAGUUUGCAGACCCCAGAUUAAGAACCCCUGUUUUUAAACCAAGAGGGACCAUAAUAAGUUUGUGUGUGUGUGUGUGUGUGUGUGUGUGUGUGUGUGUGUGUGUGUGUGACCUUUGUCUAGAGCUGACUGGGGGAAGUGGUUUGUAAAAUGAAAUAGGCCUGAGUUGCUUGAAUGAAGAAAACAGAAACCUGGAUAAUGGGAAUUAAUUAGUUGAUUGCUGUUGAGAUGGCAACAGAUUUGCUGCUCUACAUUUAUCCAAUGAUUUUAGUCGUAGCUAGAAAGAUGAAGGUGAAGAAACCUUUGUCUAGGUCUCAAACGUGGUGCAAAAAGCUUUUUUUUUUUUUUGAUGGGAUGUCAAUGACCAUAAAAAAUAAUAAUUUGCACUUAUAUAGUACCUUUCAACCAGGCACCUCAAAGCACUUUAGCCACAUUAAUUAAUUAAGACUCACAGCUCCCCUGUGGAGAGAUAGAGGAUGACUAACCGGAUUUGUAAUAACAAGAGGGAACAUUUCUGAAUGGUUUAUUGUCCACAAAAUCAAAAGAGUAGGUGCAAAGGAAUUGAGGGCUCCAAAGUGUAACUGACUCAGAAAAUAAAAUCCUGGGAGCAUGGUGCGAAGGCCCUUUCUUUUGUCAGAAGGAGGUAGAUGGUUCUCUGAAUGCUUUGACAAGCUUGGUCCAAUAGAGAAUGAAGGUUGUAAGAUAUUAGUGGCAUUUGGAUGGUCAUUAACCACAUCACCAUUGUGGGACAAAUUUAAGUUUCAGUGCUAUAGAAUGUGGCUAGGAGGGUUUCUUGUAUUUCACUCUGAAAUCAAAAGAAUAAGGUUCAUGUAGCAAUUAAUAAAGGAUGGAAUUAUUUCUUUGAGUGUAAAGCUCCAGUCAGAGUCUGUCAACUAAUUAAUAAAUCAACCAUUCAGUCAGAGUUCUGUCUACCAGUCUACACACUCCUGUUACAAUAUUGCUUUUCUAAAAAGGCAUCUCUCAGGUAGUAUCUUGACCAGAAGGUGACACUCUAAAGAUUGUGUGUCAUGCCAGCCACUAGGUCUGCUACCAUCAUGACCUUGUUGGUCCAGUGUCAUCCAUCACAAAGCUGAUUAAAAUGUUCUAACUGGUAGAAGUUGGCUCCUCUGACCCAAGACCCUAAAAGAAAAUCAUUUCUAACUGGUAAAUGUGGAGCCAUUUUAGGAAGAGUUCCUUCUCAAUAGAUUAUUAAGCACCAAAUAAAUAAAAUAAAACAAAAGAAUGACUAAAAAUGAUAUUUUUCUUGUAUUUAAAUUUAUUUAUUUAGAAUAUUUUCCCAUGGUUACAUGAUUCAUGAUUUUUCCUGUCCCCUCUUCCUUCCCUGCUCCUGGAGCGUGAGAAGAAAUUCUACUGCAUGAUGUGUGUAUCAUUGUUCAAAACCUAUUUCCAUAUUAUUCAUAUUUGCAAUAGAAUGAUCUUUUAAUGCCAAAAACCCAAUCAUAUCCCCAUUGAACCACGUGAUCUAUCAUAUGUUGAAAAACUCAAUUUUUAAAAAUGUGUUAUAAAGACCAUCCCAUAGACUCUAUGGCAUAGAGUGUACUUUCCUAGUUCCCCUUGACCAUAGGGCAGAUCUUCCUCUGGCUGUGUUAUGACCUGGUGCUAAAAUAACUUGAUUCUUUUGUUUUAGUAUCAGUUGACAAACCUUGAGGGAACCUUUGGUCCAUUCCCACUUUGGAGCAGAGGCAGAGGGUCAGAAUUCUGUGUGUCAAUAAAAGAAGAAGAAUCUUCUUCUUGGUUCUCUCUUCCUUCAGUCUUCCAUGGGGCAUCAUAUAACAAUGACAAUGUCAUUCAUCACCAGCAACUUGAUGGUGAUUUCACCAAUGUAGCAACUGGGGCAACAGGAUCCAAUAAGCUUGUGUCUGAGCCCUUGGCCAUGUUUUCUGCCUUUCUUUGUUCUUCUUUGACCUUCUGUAAUUAGGUAUCUAUUCUGAGGUGGACAUAUUCAGUCUCGAAAGUGACUUUAUAAAAGGUUUAGAGAUCCUGUGUCCACUGAGGGAAGCUGAUGAGUAUCUAGGUAUCUAUUCAUUAGAGAAGAUGACCGCCAAAAGAAGAUUAGCCCAAACCUAGCCAUUUUACCAGAAAACAUGGUUAGGUAGCUGUUUGGACAGUACAGAACCAAAGUGAAUGUAAAACAAGAUAUCUCACAAACUAGUUUAUGUUGGGAUGACUUUAAGGAUCAGCUUCCCAGCACAUUAUAACAAUUAUUAUAACUUACUAAAUCCAAGAAGGAUGAUGACUAGGACUCUUGGGUCUUCAAGUUUUCCCUAUAGAAUAAAGACAUAAGUACAUGCUUUGUAUGUAUAUCAAAGACUAUUAAUUAGAUUGGGCUUCCACCACUUAUAUCAAUUAAACAAUUUCUUAGGUUGUUUUGGAAAGAGAAUUCUACAUGUUCUAGCAUGGUUACAUGCUAUGUAACUUCAAGUGAUAUCUUCAUGACAUAUAGAGCUGAAAAAUCUGAAUGCUGGUAAUAAUUGAACCUGUGCAUGGAAGCAUGUAGAAUAUAGAGAUAAAAGAGCCAAGGAGAGAGUUUGGGUACAAGGGUACAGCUACAUUGAAGGGAUGGCAGUAGGAUAUUGGACUAAGGAAACAGCCAGAAAAGGAGCAAUUAGAAAAGAGAGGGAGAAUAAUAAUAGCUAGCAUUGAUCUAGUACUUUAAAAUUUGCAAAGUACUUUAUAUAUGCUUAUCUCAUUUGAACCUUACAACAUCCUUGUAAGGUGAGUUGUGUUAUUAUACUCAUUUUAUAGAGGAAGAAACUGAUUUACCCUGGGUCCUAAAGCUAGUAAGGGGCCCAGUUUAGGAUUUGAAUUCAAGUGUUCAUGUCUGCAGGCACUCUAUCCAUUUGUUAUCUUUCAUUUUUCAAAGAGGACAAAUGAUAUUAUGGGGUGAUAUCUUGACUUGCACAAGUACUGGACUUAAAUGAGGCAGAGUUGCAUACAAUCAUCAGCCUCACUCUUCCAGAAUCAUCAAAAUCCAAGAAGACAAAGUCAGGACAACUGGCAAUGGCCCAGAAUGCUGUGGAUGACCUUGAUGUCUUCAAUGACUGACCAAGCUCUAGGUACUCCCUGAGGCCUGCUGCAGGCACCCUCAUGGCCAUUGGAACAAUUGUUCUCAUCUGCCCUUUCCUCAGGGGUGAAGUCUUCACAUGCUUGGAGUAGACAUUUCCCUAAUUCAUUAAUGGGUUUGAGGGCUGUUGGUCACCCUCAACCUGGUUUAGCCUGUCUACUCAGAUAGUUUUAUUGAGGUGCAUACUAGCAUGAGAAGCAUGCUAGAGCUUCUUGGAGCCACAGGUGAGAGCUGGGUGACAGAUGGACACCAACAGUGGAUGAACAGCCCUGAGAAGGGUUCUGCAAGCCCUCACACCCCAUACACCCUAACUGCCUAGAGAACCAGAAGACAAGAAAAGGAGGAGAGCUCAUUCAGGAAAAGAGGGUAGACAACAAUGUCAAAUACAGAAAAAAGGUCAAGGAAGAUUAGAACUGAAGGAAAGGCUGUCAGAUUGAAGAAUUAAGAAGUCAUUGGUUAGCAUUAAGAAAAGUUUCAUUGGGAACCAAAUUGCAAGAGGAAAGGAGACAGAUUAAUGAGGACUAUUUGAAAAUACAAAAAAAAAAGUUGUUUAUACUGUAAGAGUGCCUAAGCCAAGAAAAGUAAAUAGUUUACUUAUUAAAAAUAAGCACUAAAGUGGAGCAGUGAGUGUCAGAUGCCUUGCGAAUGUUGGAGAUCUGAUUAUGUGCUCCUUGUUGGAAAAGCCUACAUUUCUCUACUUUUUUAUCUUUCAUAACAAAUGAUACAGUCCUCUCUUUGAUGAUUAAUCAGUUAUUAUUGAAACAAUAGCACAGGGCCUGGCAGGUAAUAUUUUCAUUAGUUCAAUGAAUUGAUUAACUGUAGCAAUGUGUGGUAAGUAGUGGAUAAGGACAGGACCCCUAAUUUCAUGGGCAUUGAGAACUCCUGAAUGGAUGCAGAAACUCCUGUUACCAAUGCAAAUCGACAACUUAUGGCCUUUUCUGCAACUUAUGGUCUUAGAAUUUGCCUGAGGUCAGUGAAAGGUGAAGUGAUCUGUCCAGGGACACUGUAUGAGAAGAUGGACUAGCCCAGGUGUUCCUGGCUUUGAGCCUGGCUCUCCAUCCACUCUACCACACUAUCUCUCUUACUAUAUACAAGAGCUAAAAAUCAGUGGGACAAUUCUUCACACUGGGCUGUGGCUGCAGAAGCCUAACCUGUGGAAACAGUAGCCCAGGAUGUUCUGGGGAUUGCUGAUUAUCAGCUCCCCAUUGAUUAUCUCUCUCCUUUCAUCACUGAGAAAGAUGAGAAAAUGUUAACAAGAAAAUAGCAUCUAGUAAAGGAAGAGGACACAGAUAAAGGCUUUGUUGUGUUUUAAUGUUUGUCUUAUUUUGUCCACAACAGUUGGAAGCAGGUCAAGUCAUGGCUCUUCUUUUUUCAUCAUGGUGAAUAGUAGUCAUCAUCAAUUCCUUUUCAACGAUUUUUGAAUAUAGUUCAUUUGGUUUGAAAGAACACUAUAUAAUUGACUUGGACAAUAAUCAGUAUUCACUUUCCCAAAUGGUGACAGGGAAGAGCAGAGCCAAGAUGGUGGCUUAGUAGCAGCUAGAAGAGAAGCUUAGAGCAGCAGAGAGCCUCAAAAUAGUCAAAACAACUGAAGUCACAGAACCAAGGAGAUGGAGAGAGGGGGCUCUCCUGUGCAAAACAACUUGAAGGGUAGACAGAGAGAAUAGUUUUUCAUAGGAUAAUGGGGAGCUGGAGGUAAAACUGCACACAGAGGAAUAUGUAGGAUCCACAUCCAAAGUUGACAUUUCUGAAUUAACUUGAUGCAAAGUCCUUUUCUUCACCAUUCCGUGGGCUCCUGAGCCAGGGUCCUGGACUGUUCCCCAUCAAGGUACAAAAUGAUAUGGUGGUCAAGGUGGUUUGACUUGCUUGGUACAUGCUGCCUUCAGCUAAACUGGCAUGCCCUUCUAUAUCCAGCUUGCCUUUUACCCCUUGAAAGUUUAUAAUAAAUUCAAAAUGCUACUUUCAAACCUGUCUGACUGGUUUGUGUUUGACUCUGAACUUCUUUCAAUUCCCUUCCAUGCAUUUUUAAAACAAACUUCACUGAUGCUAUUUAUUAUAAAAUCUCAUUAGCUACCCUCCCCUUCCCAAAUAAAAUCCAUAAUGCUUGUAAUAAGCAUAGUCAAGCAGAACAAGUCCACAUACUUUCCACAUGCAAAAAUGUAUAUUUAAUUCUCUUCCUGGGUACACGACCCCUCUGUCAGGGGCUGGGUGGCAUACUUCUUCAUUGCUCUUCUGGAAUCAGAGUGAAUCAUUGCAUUGAUAAGAGUUCUUAAGUCUUCCAAAGUUAUUUUUUCUUUUCACUGCCAUUCCUGUUUAAAUUGUUCUGCAUGUUUAGCUUGUUUCAUUCUUCAUUAGUUUAUGCAAGUCUCAUCUCUUCUAUCCUUUCCUGUUGUUCAAUAUCAUUGCACUACUGAUCAUAUCAAUAGAUGCAGAAAAAACCUUUGACAAAGUAUAACAAUCUUUGAUACUAAAAAUCCUACAAAGAAUAGGCAGAAAGACCUUUUUUUUUUUUUCAUAAAAAGCAUCUAUCUGAAGUCAAAACAGGAGUGAAGUAAGGGU